CGGACGGGUGAGUAAUGUCUGGGAAACUGCCUGAUGGAGGGGGAUAACUACUGGAAACGGUAGCUAAUACCGCAUAACGUCGCAAGACCAAAGAGGGGACCUCGGCCUCUUGCCAUCGGAUGUGCCCAGAUGGGAUUAGCUUGUUGGUGGGGUAACGGCUCACCAAGGCGACGAUCCCUAGCUGGUCUGAGAGGAUGACCAGCCACACUGGAACUGAGACACGGCCCAGACUCCUACGGGAGGCAGCAUG
rnacentral:rRNA from 1 species